rnacentral:lncRNA from 1 species
CCUUUUCUUAAAAAAAAAUUAUUUUACUUUAGUUAUUUUCUCCUCUUCGAGGUCUGGUUGCCUCACUCUUAUAGUCCAGUUCAUUUUCUUUAUAAAUGAACUGGGUAGCAUGCUACUUUUUUCUAAAAAAAAAGACUGUAACAUUCUAAAGCAACUACCGUAUCACUCAUUUUGAAAAAUUACAAAUCUUUUUUCUUUAAUUGAAAAUUUUUCUAAAGCAACCACUGGCUUUUGAAUUUUAAGAAAAGGUCCAUUUAAAAAGCUCAAUACAUCGA